UUCAGAUGAAGAUGUGGAACUCUCCAUUCCUGCCUGGAUGAUUAUGGACUGAACCUCUGAACCUGUGCCACAGAGCCACAGCUUCCGCCCAGAGCUGGACCCGCCCACCCACGCGCUGCCACGAGCCAUCUCCAGCCACGCCCCUUUCUGCAGCCCUCACCCUAACCAGGAUACUGCACCUGAAAAGUCUGGCUUCGAAGUAGUUGAGUCCUAAAAUGAAACCCUCAGAUCCUUCCCGGCAACUGCAUGCUAAUGAGGGGAGAAUAACAAUGGAGAGUGUUGCCAGAGUUGGUUGAGUCCCGGAGGUUUCCCAGAGGUGACAGACUAAAAGGAUUUCUCUGUGUAGCCCUGGCUGUCCUGGAACUCACUUUGUAGACCAAGCUGGCCUCGAACUCAGAAAUCCGCCUGCCUCUGCUUCCCAAGUGCUGGGAUUAAAGGCCUGAGCCCCAUCACCCCGGCCACUGAGUAGCUUUUAACUGAAGAGGAAGGAGGACAGACCCAGAGAGAUGGCUUAGUGGUCAAAAGCACUUGUUCUUGCAGAGACCCUCCAUAUGGUGUCUCACAACCAUCCACAACUCCAGGUCCAGGAUCAGAUGCCUCCUUUUGACCUCUGUAGGUACCAGGCACCCAGGUGGUACAUCAGCAUACACGCAGGCAAAACACUCAUUCACACAAAUACAAACACAACUUUAAAGUACUUUUUAAAAAGAGAGAGGGAGCAGGAACAAAGUCUGGAGUUUAUCAGGGAUGCAGAGGAAGGGAAAUAAAAAAUGAGGGACUAGGAGCUGGAGUCCCUGACAGGCAAACAUAUGAGAGAGGCUA